rnacentral:rRNA from 1 species
UUGACCUCGGAUCAGGUAGGAAUACCCGCUGAACUUAAGCAUAUCAAUAAGCGGAGGAAAAGAAACCAACAGGGAUUGCCUCAGUAACGGCGAGUGAAGCGGCAACAGCUCAAAUUUGAAAUCUGGCUCCUUCGGGGCCCGAGUUGUAAUUUGCAGAGGAUGCUUCGGGUACGGGUUCCUUCCGAGUUCCCUGGAACGGGACGCCAUAGAGGGUGAGAGCCCCGUCUGGUAGGACACCCAGCCCGUGUGAAGCUCCCUCGACGAGUCGAGUAGUUUGGGAAUGCUGCUCUAACGGGAGGUAUACUCCUUCCAAGGCUAAAUACCGGCUGGAGACCGAUAGCGCACAAGUAGAGUGAUCGAAAGAUGAAAAGCACUUUGAAAAGAGAGUCAAAUAGCACGUGAAAUUGUUGAAAGGGAAGCGCUCGCUACCAGACAUGGGUUCGGCGGUUCAACCGGGGCCACGCCCCGGGGCACUCCGCCGGCCCAGGCCAGCAUCAGCUUUCCGUCGGGGGCAAAGGCGUCGGGAAUGUGGCUCUCCUUCGGGGGAGUGUUAUAGCCCGGCGUGUCAUACCCU